rnacentral:rRNA from 1 species
UACGUAGGUGGCAAGCGUUAUCCGGAUUUAUUGGGUGUAAAGGGCGUGUAGGCGGGAAAGCAAGUCAGAUGUGAAAACUCAGGGCUCAACCCUGAGCCUGCAUUUGAAACUGUUUUUCUUGAGUGCUGGAGAGGCAAUCGGAAUUCCGUGUGUAGCGGUGAAAUGCGUAGAUAUAUGGAAGAACACCAGUGGCGAAAGCGGCUCUCUGGUCUGUAACUGACGCUGAGGUUCGAAAGCGUGGGUAGCAAACAGG